rfam:Loxodonta africana unplaced genomic scaffold scaffold_177, whole genome shotgun sequence.
GCCAUGGUAGCUCAGUGGCAGAAUUCUUACCUCCCAUGCAGGAGACCUGGGUUCGAUUCCCAGCCAAUGCA